UUAAGAUACUAAGAGCAUACGGUGGAUGCCUUGGCGAUAUCUGCCGACGAAGGACGUGACAAGCUGCGAAAAGCUGCGGAGAGAUGCAAAUAAUCGGCGACCCGCAGACAUCCGAAUGGAGCAAUCCGGCUGUGAUGAUGCACAGCCAUCCAUGCCCAAGAGCAUGAGAAGGGAACCGGGCGAACUGAAACAUCUAAGUAGCCCGAGGAAAAGAAAUCAAACGAGAUACCCCAAGUAGCGGCGAGCGAACAGGGAAGAAGCCCAAACCGGUGAAGGAAACUUUACCGGGGUUGAGGACCAUCAGAACCGCGAAGAACUUUAGCCGAAACUGUUGGGAAACAGUGCCAAAGACAGUGAAAGCCUGGUAGGCGAAAAAGAGAAACGCGGAGAUGGCACCAGAGUACCGCGGGACACGAGAAAUCCCGUGGGAAACAGGGGGGACCACCCUCCAAGGCAAAACACAGAUAUCGACCGAUAGCGCAUAGUACCAUGAGGGAAAGGUGAAAAGCACCCCGGGAGGGGAAUGAAAGAGAACCUGAAACCGUAUGUUUACAAGCAGUCGGAGACCGCUUAAUAAUAAGGUCGACGGCGUGCCUAUUGAAGAAUGAACCGGCGAGUUACGAAGCCUGGCAAGGUUAAGCAGGAAAUGCGGAGCCGAAGCGAAAGCGAGUCUUAAGAGGGCGCAAGUCAGGAAGCGUAGACCCGAAACCACAGUGAUCUACCCAUGUCCAGGUUGAAACACAGGUAAAAAUGUGUGGAGGACCGAACCUAUAUCCGUUGAAAAGGGUUAGGAUGAGGUGUGGGUAGGGGUGAAAUUCCAAUCGAACGUGGAGAUAGCUGGUUCUCCCCGAAAUAGCUUUAGGGCUAGCCUCAGGGAAAAGAUUGCAGGCGGUAGAGCACUGAUCAGGAGAGGGACCUACCCGGUUACCAAACCCAGUCAAACUCCGAAUGGCUGCAAUCAUACCUGGGAGUCAGACUGCGACUAAUAAGGGCCGUAGUCAAAAGGGAAACAGCCCAGACCAUCAGCUAAGGUCCCCAAUGCCGUGCUAAGUGGCGAAGGAUGUGGCAUUUCAUAAACAACCAGGAUGUUGGCUCAGAAGCAGCCACCAUUUAAAGAGUGCGUAAUAGCUCACUGGUCGAGAGACGCUGCGCCGAAAAUGUCCGGGGCUCAAGCACGGAACCGAAGCUAUGGCAUGAUAGCAAUAUCAUGGGUAGGGGAGCGUUCUUAUAAGGAAGAAGCAUGACCGGAAGGACAUGUGGACGAAUAAGAAGUGAGAAUGCCGGUAUGAGUAUCGAAAAGAAAGGUGAGAAUCCUUUCCACCGAAAGCCCGAGGGUUCCUGAGCAACGAUCGUCGACUCAGGGUAAGUCGGGACCUAAGCCGAGGCGAGAAGCGUAGGCGAUGGACAACAGGUUGAAAUUCCUGUACCGGAUCAAGUCGAUCGAGCGAAGGAGCGACGCAGGAGGGCACAUGAUCGCGCGGCUGGAAGAGCGCGUCCAAGUGCGUAUGUUGCAGCAGAGGAAAACCCCUGCGGCUGAAAGCAGAGACAUGAUGGGGAGUUAAAGGAAACUUUGACGAACUCAUGGAUCCCACACUGCCAAGAAAAACUUCUAGCGAGACAAGAUCCGCCCGUACCGUAAACCGACACAGGUAGGCGGGGAGAGAAUCCUAAGGUGCGCGGGAAAACCCUCGUUAAGGAACUCGGCAAAUUGCAUCCGUAACCUAGGGAGAAGGAUGGCCCCCGGUCAGUGAAGAGCAGAAACGCUCAGAGCUAAAAGGGGCGGCAGAAAAGAGGCCCAAGCAACUGUUUACCAAAAACACAGGUGCCUGCGAAAGCGAAAGCUGAAGUAUAGGUGCUGACGCCUGCCCGGUGCCGGAAGGUUAAGGAGAGGUGUGAGCGAAAGCGAAGCAUCGAACUGAAGCCCCGGUGAACGGCGGCCGUAACUAUAACGGUCCUAAGGUAGCGAAAUUCCUUGUCGGGUAAGUUCCGACCCGCAUGAAAGGCGUAAUGAUUUGGGCACUGUCUCAACGAGGGGCCCGGUGAAAUUGAAAUACCUGUGAAGAUGCAGGUUACCCGCGACUGGACAGAAAGACCCCAUGGAGCUUCACUGCAGCUUGAGAUUGAAUCCCGGUGACAGAUGCACAGGAUAGGUGGGAGGCGUCGAAGCAUUGCCCUAGGGCGGUGCGGAGCCGAUGUUGGGAUACCACCCUUCUGUUGCUGAGAUUCUAACGCGAGGAGUAACGACCCUGCGGACCCUCUCAGGCAGGCGGUUUGACUGGGGCGGUCGCCUCCGAAAGAGUAACG
rnacentral:rRNA from 1 species